rnacentral:tRNA from 1 species
AAGCUAAGUUAUUCAAGAAAAAGCUUCUAACUUUACUCUUAAGCAGUGAGACUCUGUUUUUAGCUUU